ACUGAAUGGACAGAACUGGUGAUCCUUAAUUCAUCAAAAACUACCUUUGUAGGAACAACCCCUGUAUCUGUGACAGGGAAAAAAGGAGACAGUGUCAUCCUGUCAUGUCAAUUUGAGCCCAGUGACAUUUUUCGUAUUGAUUUAUGGAGACAAAAAUCCAUCUUUUCAUGUCAGAAUGAAACUUGUGAGAAUGGGCGAUUUUCAAAAAAAGGAUGUGAUGUCACCAUCAAGAAUCUGAGCUUCAGUGAUGCUGGGAAAUAUACUUUGAAAGUCUUUUACAAUCAUAUUCAGACAGUAUUGAAUCAAAAAAAGGAGAGGAUGUACCAACUUCAAAUUCAAGAUAAUAUUUCUGUGCAGGAAGGUGGGGAGUUGGGUGAUCUGCCCAGUGCUCAUAAAGUUCUGCAUCAGCCCAGCGGAAGCACAAAGUGGAUGGACGUUUGGCCCAAGGAUCAGAGUGAUGUGAACCUUCAUAAUUUUAGGACCAACCACACAGGAACAUACAGAGUUCUGGACUCUGAAGAAAACAUCUUGAUCACAGUGACAGUCACAGGUAAGAGAAGAUCAGUGGAUAUGUGGAAAUACUAUUUUUAAGAGACAGCUGAUAUUAAUUCACCAUGAUUUGAACAUCACAUUGAUGCUAAACUUUGUGACUAACCUCCCUAUAUUCUCAUCAGAAUCAGGUACAGAAUCAAAGGACAAACAAGACGACACAAAUAAAGACAAAACUGAACCACUUCGUAAGUAUAUC
ensembl:lncRNA